GCCAGCCCAACCUCCCCUCCUCACCCUACCUCACCUUCUUUUUCAAUCCCUUGCUGCAGGUCACUCAUCACGCGGAUGGGUCGAAGCGCUGGAUCUCGGGACAGGGCGGCGCGGAGGCCUUCCUCCCAUAGGAUUCCGAGCUCGACGAGCCUAGCAGCUGUCGUCCUUGCCCCGCUCGAGGAGGAGGGGCGCACCUAGCAGGCCACCAAUGGCCUGUUCUGCUCCUCGUCUUCCUCCACUGCCUGAACCACCACGCAUUCAACAGCGGGCUGCUGCAGCAUCGACCGGAAGCAAACAAAAGGACGACACUCACAAGGAAUGAAGAAGCCAGCUAUCCUUGUCAACUUGAUGUUUUAGCUUUCAUUUUGUACAACUCAUCUCCCAUACUUACAUCUUUUAGUUGUCCAUUUGUGAACCUGAUGUAUGGUGUCUUGGUGGUUAUGUUUCUAACAAACUAAAGUGCAUAUAUGUGAUAUAAUUAGUUAAUGGAAUAAAAGCUGAUUGGUGCACAUAAUGUGAACCUGAUA